CGGUGUCAUGGCGUCAAUUGCAAGGCCAGGGCACAAAAGGGAGCACUAAAUGUUUGAUAGACCACCAUUUUUUGCUUCUAUUCUCUGUGGACUGCUUAGAAAGAACCUGGGAGACCUCCAAACUACGCAAUGGAGGUGGUGACCUUGGAGGAUGUGGUUGUGAACUUCAGCAAUGAGGAGUGGACUUUGCUGAGUCUAUCCCAAAAGAACCUCAACAGAGAUGUGAUGGGUGAAACCUUUAGGAACAUGACUGCAAGAGCUUCAAGUGUUGUUCCAAGUGAGGGAGUGAGUUCACCCAGAUUGGGACGGGAUUCCAUGCCUACGCCGAACCUGCUGGCAAGGUAGGGAGAUCCCCCACACUGCAAUUGGAAUCUGUUCCUCGGCCCCACUUGCUGGUCCCAGCAGGAAUCCUUUGGCUGGUCCCCAGGUGAGGAAGAGAAUUACCCCAGACUGGGGAAGAAUUCUGUGCCUUGGCCCGACUCCCUGGUUCCAACUUGCUGGUCCCAAAUCACUGGUCCCAGUGGGCAACCACGGGCUGGUCCCCAGAUGAGGAAGGGAGUUCCUCCAGACUUGAUUAUAUUCCGUGCCUUGGCCUGACUUGCUGGUCCUGGCAGGAAACCACGGGUUCUACAUCAGGUUUGAUUAUUAACUGCUUUCACAUCCUACAACGUCUUCAAAUUGUGUUUUUAUAAAAAUAGCUAUAUAAUGUUAUGCUUAAUUGUAUAGUCCCGGAUGAUGUGGACAAUUCUAUUGAAAAUAACAAGAGAAAGCAUAAUAAGUACUUUAUAUCUCCUAAUAUUGUGGUCUUAUAUGUCUCGUUCAUAUCAUGAUUUUCUAGGAAUUUGUUUUGUUGUCUUAUUUUGAUCUGUUUUCCCCUAUAACACAGAAAGGAUAGAUAUACACAUAGAGAUUCACACAUCGGAAGAAUUUCUAACCUAUUUAUUUGAACAAAUAAUAUAAUGCAUAAUGUAAUGAACAGAUACUCUGAAGAAGAAAUGACACUAAGAAACCCCAAGCUAAUUCUGUAGCAUUAUGAUAUAAAAUUGAGCAAUACUAUUAUUUACUGUUCAGAGUGAUAUUAGUCUAGUCUCUUAUUUUUUUGUGAACUGUAAUUUUAACAUGGCAUUGUUUUAAUCUUUUGAUGCACAUGCUUCAUUUUCUCUUUCAUAAAUGAUGUUUCUGAAGUUGAUGCAAUAUUUGGCAUUAAGGUAUACAUUUGUAGAGGUUGGAGUAUGUGUUUUUGACAAAGUUGUGUUCUUUUCACGUAACUUGUACAUUACUGAAUGUUAUGUUUUCCAAGUUGUGACAAGACAUCUGCUGAUUUCCUAACAUCACUGGAUAUCAUACCAUGUAAAUUAUGUUGCCUGAUUUUGUUUCUCGGUGGAGCCAAUAUUUGUUAUUUAAGUAAACCUUUGUUUUUCUAACCAUCAGAAUUUUACUUGUUAUGUUUAUAUUACAUCUUUAUUUGCUAGUAAGGUUUCCCCACAUGUACCAAAUGUAAACCAUACUACUGUGAAUUUCUGAUUGUGCCAUACUGACAGAAUCAUAACUUGUCUCCAAUAGUACAUCACAAUAUAUAUAUAUAUAUAUAUAUCUCCAGAAAUUAUAAAAUUUGGCAUGAUUUAUGAGUAACCAUAUUUUGAAAUCAGUUUUUCUUAAAUAUGGAGUUGUUUGGGGGGAAAUGUUGUUAUUAGAUGUAUCAUGCAAAUGCCUUUAUUUUAUUCCUCGAUGCUGUGAAUGCAUUAUAUAUUUUGUAAUUAUUACUGUUUUUUCCAAAAAUACUGAAGUAAUGGCAUGAAGGGAAACCUAAAUUUUGAGCUGUCAACACAGUAAAAAGUAAAUUUGCUAAAUUAA